GUGCCAGCAGCCGCGGUAAUACGUAGGUGGCAAGCGUUAUCCGGAAUUAUUGGGCGUAAAGCGCGCGCAGGUGGUUUCUUAAGUCUGAUGUGAAAGCCCACGGCUCAACCGUGGAGGGUCAUUGGAAACUGGGAGACUUGAGUGCAGAAGAGGAAAGUGGAAUUCCCAUGUGUAGCGGUGAAAUGCGUAGAGAUUAUGGAGGAACACCAGUGGCGAGGGCGACUUUCUGUUCUGUAACUGACAUUGAGGCGGCGAAAGCGUGGGGAGCAAACAGGAUUAGAUACCUUGGUGUUCC
rnacentral:rRNA from 1 species